rnacentral:rRNA from 1 species
CCUACGGGAGGCAGCAGUGGGGAAUAUUGCACAAUGGGGGAAACCCUGAUGCAGCGACGCCGCGUGAGUGAAGAAGGAUUUCGGUACGUUAAGCUCUAUCAGCAGGGAAGAAAAUGACGGUACCUGACUAAGAAGCCACGGCUAACUACGUGCCGGCAGCCGCGGCAAUACGUAGGGGGCAAGCGUUAUCCGGAUGUACUGGGUGUAAAGGGAGCGUAGACGGCUGCGCAAGUCUGGAGUGAAAUGGCAGGGCUUAACCAUGGAACUGCUGUGGAAACUGUGAAGCUGGAGUGCAGGAGAGGUAAGCGGAAUUCGUAGUGUAGCGGUGAAAUGCGUAGAUAUUAGGAGGAACACCAGUGGCGAAGGCGGCUUACUGGACUGUAACUGACGUUGAGGCUCGAAAGCGUGGGGAGCAAACAGGAUUAGAUACCCGUGUAGUC